rnacentral:rRNA from 1 species
UACGUAGGGGGCAAGCGUUGUCCGGAUUUAUUGGGCGUAAAGAGCGUGUAGGCGGCCUGACAGGUCUGCUGUGAAAACUCGAGGCUCAACCUCGAGAUGUCGGCGGAAACCGUCUGGCUAGAGUCCGGAAGAGGAGAGUGGAAUUCCUGGUGUAGCGGUGAAAUGCGCAGAUAUCAGGAAGAACACCUAGUGGCGAAGGCGGCUUGCUGGGCCAGUUCUGACGCUGAGGAGCGAAAGCGUGGGGAGCGAACAGG